rnacentral:lncRNA from 1 species
GCCCAAUUAUCUCAUUGCUGAACAAAAGUAAACUAGGGUCAAAGAAUGGCUCUUUACCACCAAGUCAAAGAAAAUAAGUUUAAUCAGUACAUUUGACAUGAUGAUUCCCACAAAGAAACAUGGCUAUUUGGGCCCUAGGUAAAAAGUCUGAUCCAACCUCCCACAUUGCCUCACUGACUCACUGCCCCCCUCCCUCCCUGGGCUCCUUUUAGUCCUUGUGUAGAACUGAUUCUUUUGCCUUUCUCUAUCCCUAACCCACACCAGGGGAUGGAAACUUCCAGAGACUAGAAGUCAAGGAUAAGUUUGACCAGCUUAAUCCUGACCAUCUGCCACCACCACUACUGUGUUCCCAAGGAAAGGACAGAUUGCAAGGUAGAAGUUAUGCAUUACCUCAAUUUGCUCACUUUACAGAUGAAGAAACUGAAGCAAACAGGAUUAUGUGACUUGUCCAGGAACUCACCAUUGGAAGAAAAAUUAGAGGCACAGCUUUCAAAACUGUGCAAAUUGAAAUGGCAAAAGGACCACCACUCCUCACCCCCAUUUGUCUCCUGCUGCAUCCCAUUAACAGAGAAUUGGAGUUCGUGCCAGCCUCGAUUCCGAUGUAAGCCAAUGCAAUGCAUUCCACAUUGUAUGGGCUUAAUAAAUGCUUUUUUUCAAAUGGAAUGGCAUCUAUAGAAUACUGAGUGCCUUACACAGUGCUAAGAACCUCAGAGGCCAUUUAAUUUUAC